UGGGGAAUUUUGGACAAUGGGGGAAACCCUGAUCCAGCCAUCCCGCGUGUGCGAUGAAGGCCUUCGGGUUGUAAAGCACUUUUGGCAGGAAAGAAACGUCGCGGGUUAAUACCCCGCGGAACUGACGGUACCUGCAGAAUAAGCACCGGCUAACUACGUGCCAGCAGCCGCGGUAAUACGUAGGGUGCAAGCGUUAAUCGGAAUUACUGGGCGUAAAGCGUGCGCAGGCGGUUCGGAAAGAAAGAUGUGAAAUCCCAGAGCUUAACUUUGGAACUGCAUUUUUAACUACCGGGCUAGAGUGUGUCAGAGGGAGGUGGAAUUCCGCGUGUAGCAGUGAAAUGCGUAGAUAUGCGGAGGAACACCGAUGGCGAAGGCAGCCUCCUGGGAUAACACUGACGCUCAUGCACGAAAGCGUGGGGAGCAAACAGGAUUAGAUACCCUGGUAGUCCACGCCCUAAACGAUGUCAACUAGCUGUUGGGGUCUUCGGACCUUGGUAGCGCAGCUAACGCGUGAAGUUGACCGCCUGGGGAGUACGGUCGCAAGAUUAAAACUCAAAUGAAUUG
rnacentral:rRNA from 1 species